AUAUCGUGCAGCCAUCUGGCAGUGUUAUUAGCUGGCCGCUAGGAGUCGCUCUUGUGGCCAUCUAUUAACGCUGCCCUACGGAAGCGCGACAC
rnacentral:pre_miRNA from 1 species